CACUGCCUCUAUCUCUUUGAUGUAUGUGCCUUGAUUCAGCAGGCAACUACAAGUACAAGUGAGCGAUGGAAGUAUAUAUACAGCCCGGUCAAAGUUAGUGGACAAGCAGACAUGGACAAUAUGGUUUGAGAUGCCUUCCACAAUUUUUAUUGGAAAAAAAGAUACCUUUCAGAACUUAACGCAAUUCAUGCGGGUGGGCAGCAAUAUGCUGAAAUGUGCGUUCGAGCUUUGAAAAUAACAGGUUGCAUGUGUGCUAGUUUCCACCAUUUGCCAAUUGUCAUCUUUCUAAAGGCAACCAUUACCAGCUCACCAGAGUAGGCAAGUAUAAGUGUUGUUUGCAUAGAAGACAAUUUGCCAAUUGCCAUGCCACUAAGGCAACCUUGAUCAGUAUAACAGCUCGUAUGUUCUCACAGUGGAAUUGCCUGGAAGUUAUGGUAAACUUUCUUCAGAUGGAUGUAAAAGCACCUCUGAAUUUUGCAUUGGAAAGUGCAAACAAGAAUGUGCAUAAAACGAUUUUGGUACUUUGCAUUUGGCUCUUCCCUUGAAGGUGUCCAGCAAUAAUGAGUAAGAAAGCGAUUGCAGCUGCUAUGAUACAAUGACACAGAGCAUGUUUAGCUGUAAUGGAACUCAUGGCUAGGAAGUAUUCUAAUGCCAUGCUUGAAGGGAAAUGUACAGACACAACUGGACAAGAACCUUCCUCAGUUAGUCGCUUUCUAGUCAGUUCCCUGCUGGCCAUGCUACAACUUAAACCCAGAAUGGGGUUACAUCGUGAUUGGUCCUGCGCUGAGGAGGUAAGAAUGGCAUAUGGCUAGGAUCUCUGCGCAAAUUUGUGCUUAAAUGGAGAGUGUUGCUUGAUUGAAAUCCUGAGGUAAAACCUGUAAAUGUUACUGACUGAAGAUGCUAAUGAAUUCACCUCACUUUGGAAGAUGACCCCAGACCAGAGAAGGUCCACUGAACUCAAUAGUUCUAUCCCUCUGCAUGAUUUGGUGUUUGUUGUGACUUUGGCUUCUAUGGUGGCCUUUCGUGUUCUGUUUGUACCAUUAUUUCUUCAAGUGAAUCAGGUGCCCAUAGCAUGUUCACAUCACUAAGUAAUUAAGCAUUUGUGCAUUACUCAGAUUGGUUAGCUGGAUCUUCAUGUUAGCUCAGCUGGUUGACUAGCUCAUCAGCAAGAUAAAUAACUUUAUGGAUUGCUGCGCUGAUACCUCAACAAAGUAUACGAAGGUUGAGAAGCUGAGGGGGUCAUUUCUCGGCCUUCUCCUUUCAGUGAUGCAGGCAACUAUCACAAAUAUGGUGUUAAACCCGAGUGGUGAAAAUGACAAGUUCUGCACCAAGGACCCUCUCUUGCCUUCCGUGUUGUUGUUGGUGGUUUUAGUAUCUCCACUGGGUGGUGCAAAUGUUUCUGAUGAUGGCAAAUACCCGAGACCAAGAAGUAAAUUGUCGCACAUGAAUCCUGAGACCAAGAAGUAAAUUGUCGCACAUGAAUCCUGAGACCAGAAUGUUGGUUCUGAGCGAUUGCUGGCAUCCUUGUGCUCUGCGCUGCCUUACUCAUCACCUUCAUGCAUUGAGAGAAAUGUUGUCGUGGCUGGAGUGCACCUGAAAAUGUACAGAGACUUUGUUAA